GUGCAGUAAACAUUACAAGCUCUCUCUGAGGUGUAACAUACAUUAGCCUGACAAGCCAGACCCACAUCCAGAUGUUGGGUCUGGGAACUCACCAGUGACGGAGCUCAAUCCAAGGGGUGGGAUAAACAGUUGUCUUUCAAAUUCCCUCUGCACGCAAUAAGAGAGCGCUACAACCAGGCAGAGCAACGAAGAAGGUAGCGAAGCUAGUUGAUGGAUGAAACUUUUACCGUAUCCGGUCAGCAAAACUCUGAACACAUCUUCCUUUUUUAAGAAUGACUUCAGUGUCGUUCUUUGUUCUUUUCUCAAAGAAAAGCUUAACUCCAAGUCU